rnacentral:rRNA from 1 species
GACGUAGGGCGCGAGCGUUGUCCGGAUUCAUUGGGCGUAAAGAGCGCGCAGGCGGUUUGGUAAGUCGGAUGUGAAAUCCCGGGGCUCAACCCCGGACCUGCAUCCGAUACUGCCCGACUAGAGGUAGGUAGGGGAGAUCGGAAUUCCUGGUGUAGCGGUGAAAUGCGCAGAUAUCAGGAGGAACACCGGUGGCGAAGGCGGAUCUCUGGGCCUUACCUGACGCUCAGGCGCGAAAGCUAGGGGAGCGAACAGG